rnacentral:rRNA from 1 species
AACGUAGGAGACAAACGUUAUCCGGAGUUACUGGGCGUAAAGGGCGCGUAGGCGGCCUUCUAAGUCAGACGUGAAAUCCCUCGGCUCAACCGAGGAACUGCGUCUGAUACUGGAAGGCUUGAAUCCGGGAGAGGGAUGUGGAAUUCCAGGUGUAGCGGUGAAAUGCGCAGAUAUCGGGAGGAACACCGGUGGCGAAGGCGGUUCUCUGGGCCUUACCUGACGCUGAGGAGCGAAAGCGUGGGGAGCGAACAGG